UGUUUGAUCCUGGCUCAGAAUCAACGCUGGCGGCGUGCCUAACACAUGCAAGUCGAACGAGAAAGUGGAGCAAUCCAUGAGUAAAGUGGCGACCGGGUGAGUAACACGUGACCAAUCUACCCUUGAGUGGGGGAUAACCUCGGGAAACCGGGGCUAAUACCGCAUAACAUCCUCGGAACGGAAGUACUGGGGAUCAAAGGAGCAAUUCGCUUAAGGAGGAGGUCGCGGCUGAUUAGCUAGUUGGCGGGGUAAUGGCCCACCAAGGCAAAGAUCGGUAGCCGGCCUGAGAGGGCGCACGGCCACACUGGAACUGAAACACGGUCCAGACUCCUACGGGAGGCAGCAGUGGGGAAUUUUGCGCAAUGGGGGAAACCCUGACGCAGCAACGCCGCGUGAAGGAUGAAGUAUUUCGGUAUGUAAACUUCGAAAGAAUAGGAAGAAUAAAUGACGGUACUAUUUAUAAGGUCCGGCUAACUACGUGCCAGCAGCCGCGGUAAUAA
rnacentral:rRNA from 1 species